CAUGCUUUCCAAGGACCAAGUGCUAUAGUUCAGAGCUUGGGUAAAUGUGCAACCACGCUGCUUCCUCAGUGCUCCAAACAGAGAGAAUUCUUAUGCAAAUUUAAGAAUCUGCCCUUGUGGAGAGGAGCGAUCUCCUUUUACAACUGUCUGGGAUUUGUAUGGAGGUGGAAUUCGGCAGUUACAGAAAACCAGUAGGAGCCUUCUGAGCUCACAGAACCUCCAGAACAUCAGCUGGAAGUGCAGUGGCUGCAUCUGGAGACCCUGUGCCCCAGUCCUCGGGCUGAGCUUUGAAGAAGAGACCUCCAGCAGCACUGGUGAGUACAGAGAUGGCCACGGAGACAGAAAUGAAAGCGGCAGAGCACCGCGAGGGCACAGCCGAGGCUUGUGGAGACAGCGCUCCAACUCUCCAGACAGCACCUAUGAAUUAAGGAAGUCCAUGUGGAAAGAAGAGAGGAAUGCAAUUGAAAAAAAACAGAAUGGAGACCACAGGUAGUCUGGAUAAAAUGAAAGGGGCAGAAAGAGGAUGUUAAGGCUCCCGUUGCUUUGCUACCUUCGGUCCACCAUGAACUGUUGCCCCUCUGCCAUGCCAGCCUGCCGUGGAGCCAUUGUGGACUGAAGUCUCUACAAACUGCAAGGAGAAAAAGAUGAAAGUCAAAGAUGUUCCCAGGUUACACAGCUGAAAGUGAGGAAGUUGGUGGUUUCCUGACUCAAGAGAGUGGAGAAGACUGAACCCAAUGAGGCACUGAAAUGAAUUGGCUGCAACUUCUAGAAGGGAUCAUGCAUUUCUGAUUUUGAAGACCCUUAACCGAGACCUGCUUCUCUGUUUGCUUCCAGCACUAUGAAAACCCCAUGGAGAACAAGAAGAGUCAACCAUUAAGGUUAAGCAACUGAGCAAACAAAGAUGUGUUCUGCUAAGUCUGACUGCUUUUCAAAAGUGUUGCUAAAAUGCUGUAAUGUCACAGCUGGCCAAGUGUGGUCACAGAAGACACAUGGCAUGGGGAGCAAUGCCACCCUGGAUUCCCGUGUGAGCUGUGUCUCCAUCAGCCCAGUCAUUCAGUGGGCCGAGCUUCUCAUCAACACAGAGAUGGGCUGAGGCGGUCAAUUGGUGUACUCCAUUC
rnacentral:lncRNA from 1 species